rnacentral:rRNA from 1 species
CCUACGGGUGGCAGUAGUGGGGAAUAUUGCACAAUGUGGGAAACCCUGAUGCAGCGACGCCGCGUGAGUGAAGAAGUAUCUCGGUAUGUAAAGCUCUAUCAGCAGGGAAGAAAAUGACGGUACCUGACUAAGAAGCCCCGGCUAACUACGUGCCAGCAGCCGCGGUAAUACUGAGGGGGCAAGCGUUAUCCGGAUUUAAUGGGUGUAAAGGGAGCGUAGGCGGCGCUGCAAGUCCGGAGUGAAAGCCCAUGGCUUAACCAUGGUACUGCUCGUGAAACUGUGGAUCUUGAGUGCGGGAGGGGCAGGGGGAAUUCGUAGGGUAGGGGGGAAAUGCGUAGAUAUUAGGAGG